UACGGGGGGGGCAAGCGUUGUUCGGAAUUACUGGGCGUAAAGGGCUCGUAGGCGGCCAACUAAGUCAGACGUGAAAUCCCUCGGCUUAACCGGGGAACUGCGUCUGAUACUGGAUGGCUUGAGUUUGGGAGAGGGAUGCGGAAUUCCAGGUGUAGCGGUGGAAUGCGCAGAUAUCAGGAGGAACACCGAUGGCGAAGGCAGGUCACUGGGCCGCAACUGACGCUGAGGAGCGAAAGCAUGGGGAGCGAACAGG
rnacentral:rRNA from 1 species